UGAUUCCUACGGGGCGCAGCAGUGAGGAAUAUUGGUCAAUGGGCGAGAGCCUGAACCAGCCACGUCGCGUGAAGGAUGACGGCCCUACGGGUUGUAAACUUCUUUUGUCAGGGAGCAAUUGAGUCCACGUGUGGGCUUAGCGAGAGUACCUGAAGAAAAAGCAUCGGCUAACUCCGUGCCAGCAGCCGCGGUAAUACGGAGGAUGCGAGCGUUAUCCGGAUUUAUUGGGUUUAAAGGGUGCGUAGGCGGACUGUUAAGUCAGCGGUAAAAGCCCGGGGCUCAACCCCGGCGAGCCGUUGAAACUG
rnacentral:rRNA from 1 species